GAGAGGAGUUAUUUGUGCAUACUUUCUCAUCUGAGUAGUCUACAGGUCCUAGCCGACACAACGUCUCUGAUAUUCUCAGAGACCUAAAAGGACAUGGAUAUGAAGCCUCUGAUGAUUCUCCUCCUGCUAGCAGCUGUCACCACCACCGCCCCUGCAGCAGCUGUCACCACCACCGCCCCUGCAGCAGCUGGGACCACCACCGC